rnacentral:lncRNA from 1 species
AUAAGGGCUCGGAAAGGAGGUGAGCAAGGCUGGAGUAAGGCCAGGUGGUCUCAUGUGGAUUUGCUAGGACUGAUUAACUACACUCAUAGUGGGAAUCUGGUAUCUGUCCAGCUCUUGGUAUCAAAGCUUGUUUACAGAACAUGAAAUAUUGCCCACUUUGGCAGGCCAUCAGCUGAGCUACUCGAGAUGCUAUUUCCCUGCCCAUUCUUUUGGCACAUGCAAGACUUUUUUUUUUUUUUUUUUUUUUUUUUUUUUUUUCUCUAGAAGGAACCCUUGCCAGGCCUGAUCUUAGCUAUGGGUCUUCUCCCUUUUGUAGAGACUACAACUACCAGUCAGCACAUACAUUUUAUCCCCACAGCAGCAGAAAGUACCUAUGUCUUCAUCCUGCAUUUGCAGGAGGACUUUUCCGUCUCUGAUGGUACCUUGUCUUAAUGCUUUUUGGAAAAUAGUCCAUUGGUGAAUUAAAAGUGCUCUGCCUCUCCAUCUUGCCCCCACCAGACAUGUACUUGUCAAGAGAGCCUGCAUCAUUAAUGGGGAAGUUUAGCAGUUUGCUGUUGGGCUGUUAAGUUAUAACUACAACAUUCAGACCUUCAUACUAUUAAAGGGAAUUGGCAUAACUGCCCUGGAGAUUUACUGUCUUGCUCCUGUUACCCCUGGGGUAAAGCAUCCAUGCACUUAGCACUAAAAUUGGGCAAAACUCUGUUAUUGUACCCAUAGUUAUUUCCAUGGGACUUGUCUGUUUCCUUGGCAAUACACAUGCUACAGGGACUAAGAAGCUUGCAUCAUGUCAUUCCUUCUUCCUUUCAGGGCUCAGGCAGAAACAAAAGACCAGGUUGCAUUCUUGAACCUAUUUCUCUGUCUCCAGACAGCUCCUGGCACACACAGGGAGGAGAGGUCCAUGUUCUAACUCAGCUGAAUUAUUGAAGGAAAACUUGAGUGUGUACUUGAUACUUCUGAAUGUGAACUUGAAUACCUGAACACAGAGCUGUACUUACUACAAUAAGCCAAGUAUGACUCUUGAACUGUAGCAGAUGUACUGGUCUAUUUGUUGAAAAACAUAAUUACUCACAAGCAGUCUAGAAGAGUUAAAGUAAUUCAUAUUUUGUUACAGAGAGGUUUGUUUCUAUCAUAGGUGAGGCAAACUAAAGGUGUCCUUCUGGAAAGCAGCAGCAAAUAGUUUACUAAAAAUAACUUUAGCUAGGUGAUAUCAAAAACAUUUGCUUCUCAAGCAAAGCCUAUAAUUUUAUUUAUCAGUUAAAAUGCUCAGUAGUAUUCCUUCUAUAAAUUGUAUUACAGUGAUGUGCAAUCAAUCAGUAUUAGUUCUCAUUUCCAGGACAAAAAUCUUUCAUUAUGAUAUCUGUACUCUUGAGAAUAUUUGAAAAAGUAACUUGAGAAGGUUCCAGCUUACCUAAUUGCCUAGGGCAGCUCAUUUAAUAAAAGGAGGGGGGGGAGGAGGGGGGGGAGAGGA